rnacentral:lncRNA from 1 species
AAAAGUUGAGCAAUACCCUUCAGUUGUCAAACCGGUUUUCUCUGCAGAAAAUUGCACCCCAGUACUGCACGUAUUUCCAAAAAAUUAGAGGACCUUCACCGGGUAACAUUCUCUCUACACCAUCAUAUAUAUCAGAAAAAAAAAUUGCUUCCCCUAGCUGAGUAUUACGUCUACAUUACCUUUCGUUGGAUAAAAUAAAUCACCCUGGGAUCAUUCAACAGCAUUAAGUUAUGAGAAAUACUAAGUAGACUCUUUUAAAAAUAAGACUUUUUAUAGACUCUCUAUCACCUCAUGUUUUUUGCACAACGUUUUACAAUGUUGGCACGAGAAUAAACAUUAAGCUGUAAGGUAUUAGAGAAAUCCAUAAACAGUCUCACUUUGAGAGAGUGUUCUUAACAUCUCUCUUAUGACGUGUUUACGAAACGGGAAUGAGGUAAGUGGAAUUGGAAUUGCAUUCCUUCCAACACAUUUAUGUGUUUACUUGUAUUUGGAGAACGAAAAUAAAGGUAGGGUCCACCCAAAAUGGGGAAUUCAAUUCCGGUUUUACCCGGAAUCCGAUUACCAAGAUAUAACUGGUAAUUGAAUUCCGGAAGAAAGAAUCAAACUUUUCUUCCUAAAGUGCCCUUGUACUUCUUUUGAUAUCCCAAAACACCCCUGCAACUUCAACACUCUUGCUUGUCUCUCAGUCGACUCCCUGCAACUUCUUCUCUGAUUCCUCUUUGUUUCGCGACUUGGGACUGGAGCUUUCAAGGUCCAUCUUCCUCCUUGCCUUCAGUCAGCUGUUGUUUAUCCCAAACCCAAUUCAUGUCCCUAUGCUUAUAUAUUCUCAUUUCGAUUCUUCGAUCCGCCGACUCCAUGGUUAAAAGCUCACUCACUGCCUCAACUAGGAAACUCAAAAUUGGGGUAAAAAAAAUCAAGGCUGGGACAUGGAGGGAGGGAGCAUGAAAACUUAUUGGCAAACAUGGGGUGGGUUGGCAGCAUAGAAAGAUUUGUUAGAAAGGAAUAGGUCAGCAGCAGAGAAAGAUGGGGAAAUUUUAGAAACUUUUUAGGUUGGGAGAAAGAUGGGGAAGAGAGGGGGAGACCAAGGGUCACAAAAACAAAUUGGAAAAAUGAAAGAAUAAAAUUUUUACUACAAAAUAAAAUAAAAUUGUUCUCUCUACUAAAAAAAAUGAAAGAAUAAAAGUUUAAAAAUAAUUUGCAUAUAAAAUAGAUUAGUUAAACUAGGGGUCAGUUUUCAUUCUGAUUCAUGUGAAUGAGUAAACAGAUUAUAUAGAUCAAUGUCAUUCAUACUCCGAUUCUAGACAGUUUUAGUAAACAACUUCAACAGUAAUCUGAUUCUGAUUCCACCUCAUUCUAAUUCCUCCUCAAUUCAAUUUCUCUUAAUCUGAUUACGGAUUAGUAAAUAUGUCAUUAAGUUAUAUUUUUGCAUGUGUGCACGCACACAUACAUUUACCAAUAUAAUUUUUUCAUUAAAUUAUUUUGGAUAAAUUACAUUUUACUCUCUCAGGUUUGGAUGUAAUUGCAACUUCAUACAAUAUCUUUAAAAUAUUUCAAUUUCAUAAUUUAAUUAUCAUUUCAUUGCAAUUUCUUACAUUCAUUAGUCAAAACCGUCAGUUUGACUAUUAAGUGAUGAUGUGACAAAUAUGAGACCCACAUGUUUUGAUGAUGAAGAAAAUUAAAAAAUUAAAAAAUUUAAAAUCGAAUUUAAAAUAAAACUAAAUUAAAACACAAUUUAAAAUUACAAAGUGGCCAGCCCACCUUUUUCUCCAACGGAGAGAGAUGGCAUCUGCCACUUUCUCUGCAAUUUCAGGGAGCAGCGAGGUCUCCUCUUCCAUUUCAGUGGGCCGCCUUUCUCUCCCCGCAGAGUCGCGGUCUCUAUCUCAUCUUCUCUCGAUCUCUCUCUCCGCGGGGAGCGCGGAUUUAAUUCCACCGUGUGCACUGGCGUAAGACGAUGUCGAUGGAAGGGGAUUGGAGUUUACGAACACCGGCGAUAGAGAAGGUAGGGAAUGGAGCUGCGGUGUGACCUAUGGAAACCGAAAAUUUGAGUCUUUCCGGAGAAUCGUAACUGUACGAAUUGGACGAAUCGUGCAAGUGAUGAACACGAUGAAAUUUUUUGUCAAGACCUUGGAAGUUACCAAUUCCGAGAGCGAAGUACUAGUGAUUGGUAAACCAAAAGAGACAGCUCCACUGAGAUAAGAAGCGACUCGGACCCCGACGAGAGCACCGCCGUUCACAACACUCUCGCCACCAUCGAGAAUUUGAUGGAGGUGAAGCACGGAACAUUCCCCAAAAAUCUGAAACGCAGAUCUUUCCCCAAAUUAAAAAUUCCUGUGAAUUUCAUAGGCGGACGACGGGAAUAGAGAACUCCUUACCCUGAAAUUUCCGAGGGAUCCAAAGGCGACGAGACGUGCCCAGAUGUUUACGAUUUUGGAUUGAACCCAAUUUUUACAUCUGGGUGGAUGCCAUUGCCAUCUCUCUCCUUGGAGAAGAAGGUGGGUGGGCCCCUUGUAAUUUUAAAUUUUGUUUUAAUUUAUUUUUAUUUUGAAUUUAAUUAUUUUAAUUUUUAAGUAUUUUUAUUUUCCAUGUCAUCAAAACAUUUGGACCUUAUAUUUGUUACGUCAUCACUUAACUGUCAAACUAAUGAUUUGAUUAACGGAUAUAUGAAAUUGCAAUGAAAUGAUAAUUAAAGUAUGAAAUUGAAAUAUUUUAAAGAUAAUGUAUUAGUUUUAAAGAUAAUGUAUUAAUCUUAAAGAAUUUGAAAAA